GGGCUUGUUCCCACAGAAACAUGACGUUAGAGGAUCAUUUUAAUUCAUUGCGUCCUGAGUCAUCAGCUGUGUCGCCACAGCAGAUUGCCAUUCUGCAGGCGAAGGAAUCAGCCUCAGGGGAGACAACUUAAGAGCCAGGAUGCAGGAAAACUAGCAGCAGCGAGGAGAUUUAUAUUGCAUCAUAGCUCAGUGAGAUGGUGAGGGAUUGCGCUGUCGACUGACUGGAGAUAAGGAGUCGCUCUGUGAGGCUGGGGAAGGACAAAGGCCCUGACCAGCCUGCUCACCAGUCCAGCCACGCAGGGACAGGAACACCCAGUGAGGCUGGACCGGCCUGGACAUCAACAGUUCACUGGUGCGGCAGCAGAAAACAACAGGAAGGAAAAACUGAACACAGGAGGAGAAUACAAACGAGCUGCAGAACAGAACCAUUUACUUUGAAGACUUUCUUAUUCCGAGAUAUUGGAAUAAAUUAAAAAGCCAUUUUGGUGUUUUUGCAUGUUUUACACCAUAAAUCAUGUCUUGUAAAUCCAAUUUUUGAUUUUUUUAAGCAUGUUUUCCCACCUUUCAGGGAGUUGCUGAUUUCCAUUAAAUUUCAUUAACAAACAAGCAUCUAAAUUUGCAUAUUCAUGUAAUUCAUCAAAGAGAAGAAGAAAUUGUGUCAUUGCAGCAUGAAGUUGUAAUUAAUACAGGAGAAAAUGGCGUAACCACAAAACUAGCAAAGUGAGUUGUAUAAAAAUAUGCAAAUAACA